GAGAUGCAAGGUGACUCCAGGGGUGAUGAGUGGGAUUGCUCAUUGCUUGCAGCUGCACCCGAAGGGGGCAGCAACUUCCGCAGAUAAAUGGGCAGCUGGUGCAGCCUCUGCUCCCCUAGGGCACCUUCUCUGCUGUUAGCUUGGAAGAGCAGUUCUGUGCCAUGCAAGGGGAGCCUCAUCCCCAUGGAGGUGGUGUUUGCUGAGGUGAAGCUCUUUUGACCUGCCUAGCUAAUCAUUUAAAAGUUAGUAUGCUUGGUGGUUGUUGAAGAUAGCAGUGAUAAACCUCUUUGCUUUAAAUGUUCAUAAACUAUGUAAAUCUAAUACAUCAGGUCGACUGCUCCAGUGGUUGUCCCUGAAUCCUUUGAUUUUGAAAAAGGAAAUUCAAAUCCAGCAAAGCGGAUCAAGAGGGCGUUCAUGAAGUGCACCAAGGAGCAGCCUAGGAUGAUCCAGAAGGAAUCUGCAAACUGUUCGCUGUGAAAGACUUGAGGGAUGUUUUUUUUUCUGGAAGCAUAUGGCCAAAAAGAGAAGAUGAAUUAAUGAGAAGUGGAGAAGUCCUACACUAAGACAGUAGGAUACCAAGAUAAAACAAGGUGUCAAAUAUUGAAGUGUGUGGCUAUGAAACCCAGUGCUGCUCAGACAUGCUAAAGUGCACUUCAGUGCAUUAAAUGACAGACGUGUAUAUUGUACAUGGUGGUUCUGCUUUCUGGGAUGCUCACAGGGAGCUUUGGCUCAGGCUGAAUGGGUUUCCUAUAGCCUCAGGGAGUGUGAACUGGCCUCUCUCAGUGUCUGGUCUCUAAAAUCUGAAAACAAUUUGUGAAGAGGACAUCAAUGCUUGCCAUCGGUUGUCAGUGAAAGCAGGGGGGUGAAGCCGGGACCUGCUGCUGGGCUCAUGGACGGAGCUGUUCAGGCUGUGACUGGGCAAUGGUUUGGGUGCACGCGCUGCCAGAGAUGGCCUUGCAGCAUUACCUCUUCAGCAUGUGCUACAUAAAGGAUUCCAGGGCAGAUAAACAGCCUACAAUGUGCUUGUAACAUUGAGUGGGACUUACUGAAGUAUUUCACUAUUAAUGCUUGACUUGCACAGAAGGAAAUUAAAAGGUAAAAUAAUGCCCUUAGGCAGACUGGGCAGGCUGUUUUGGGCCUGCUGAGGCUCUUAGGUUCCACUCAGACCUGCUCAUGCUGCUGCCCUGGGUGAUGAUCUGCUGUUGGUGGUGGGCUGGGCCACCAGGCACCUGCUCUCUCUAGGGGGGGAUGCUGCCCUACCACAGGUGUACCACAGCUUCUCUUCAUGCCUGAGACCCCCCCAGGCCAGAGAUUAAAUCCAGCAUUAGGUUCAGAUUCUGAGAACAGGCAUUAAAGCACCUGCUUCAAACUUCAUUUCUCCAUGUAAAAAAAAAAAAAGACAUUUACUGAUGUUGAGUGAAUUACUCUUCCAUUUUUUUCUUUACGGAAUUCCCGAAAGCUUUGAAUGCCUAAUGUCUGUUUUCAGAGAAACUAUUGGUAGAAUCACCCUAGCAAUACAUUAACAUAUUCUAGCCAUAACGCGAUGAACUUAAGAAAGCAGAAGUGUACAGACAGGAGCUUGAGCAAGGCAAGGAAAUGGUCUCAAGGUCUGGGAGUCUCAGCAGCUGAUAAGCAGCUGAUAAGGAGCAGAAGCCAGCUGCCUGCCUCUGGCUUGGGGUGGCUUUCCCUGCAGGAUGGGGUGCCCAGGUGGCCACUCAGCAGCACCAGGGCCAGGCCCCUGCCUGAGGCAGGCGAGAGCCCCGUGGUCCUGUCAGUGCUGGCCAGGGGCCCCAGCAGGUCUCGGCCACAGGGCUGGCAACUGCUCAUGGGAAGGGACAGCUCGACCCACGGUAGGAAACGAGUUCCUUGGGGCUUUGUGGACUGCUCUGAAAACUUUCUGCAGCCUAUACCUGCAGGGCAGCGCAGCUUUCUUCACAGCCACAGCGUGCAGCGGUACCGAGAGCUUCCAGCUAGCUAAAUAGAUUAGUAAUGGAAUUUAGAGAAGGUAAGUCUUCAUAUUGUACUAAAUGAGUCUAGUCUACUGCUUUGAAAAAAAUAUUAUGUAGUAGACCAUUUAUGAUGCCUAAUCUGGUAACCUUACUUUGCCUUAGAUGACUCAUGUAAGCAAUUUGCCAGUGCUGCUUUAGCAGAUUGCUUCCAAAUUUUGUUUUGUAAUAAUUUCAGGUGGCAUACAGUAUGUAUAAGAAAUGACUGUUUAUCAUCUGUUUAGUGUUGUUACAUGCAAAAUGUCUUCGCUUGAUCACUUCAUUGAUCUUCUUAUCCUUGAAGAUGAACAGGUUAUGAAUAUUACAUGUAAAGCAAAACCACUGCUAACAGUCUUCCAUAAGAUUUUGAAUGUUGAUUACUAAGUUCAAUUUGCAGAUCAAUUGUCUGAAUGUCAGCUAGUAUUAACCAGAUAUUUUUCCAAUUAAUACAGCAAAUUACUAAUUUGUCUGCUUUGUUUCUCAGCAGCAGCAAAAUGCUUCCAUACCCCUAUUUCUUUCAUGAGAUUCCUGCUAGUUUAUUUUUCUUUCAUGACAGAGUAGAGGAUGUAAUGUUGACAUGCGCAGGAAGAUGAUAGAGAUUAAUUGACAAACAAUAUAUGCAUUUACUUUUAAAAAAUGUAUCUUUUGAAUUGUAGAUAUCUGUGUAAUUAAAACACAAACUGCUGAAAACAUUAGUAUGGCUUUGCUAGUAUCAGAAAAGAGUAAUUUAAACCUGAAGAUUGAAAUGCUGUAAGGGUAGCAUUAGGCUUUAGAAAAUUUCAUGCCUGUUAAGGUCUGCGUACAAACAAGGGGGUAUCAGGGCAGUUAUCCUGGUUCCCUCAGCAGUGAGCAGCACAGUGCUAAAUAAUUCAAGCGCCUUUCUUACUCACAUGAAAACUGAAAAGGUCUCCCCCCGAGCCCGCACUGUCUCACUCGCUCGC